GGGUAACUGAUUUGCUUAUUGCACCACAUGUGUUUUUUAUUGAACAAAUUUCUUUGGUGGCGGGAGCAAUCCUACCGCCAGAGGUUAUAACUAAACCAAACUUUUUAUUUACAGUCAAACUUGAUUUAUUAUUACAAUAGUCAAAACUUUCAACAACGGAUCUCUUGGUUCUCGCAUCGAUGAAGAACGCAGCGAAAUGCGAUACGUAAUAUGAAUUGCAGAUAUUCGUGAAUCAUCGAAUCUUUGAACGCACAUUGCGCCCUUUGGUAUUCCAAAGGGCAUGCCUGUUUGAGCGUCAUUUCUCCCUCAAACCCCCGGGUUUGGUGUUGAGCAAUACGCUAGGUUUGUUUGAAAGAAUUUAACGGGAAAACUUAUUUUAACCAACUUAGGUUUAUCCAAAAACCCUUAUUUUGCUAGGGGCCACCACAAUUUAUUUCAUAACUUUGACCUCAAAUCAGGAAGAACUACCCGCUAAACUUAACCAUAUCAUAACCCGGAGAAA
rnacentral:rRNA from 1 species